GAAAGAAAACAUAUCUUGCCUUACAUUGGCUAACUUUUCCAUAUUUUAGCCAAUCAAAAACGAUGUAGCAUCGAAGUCAGUCAGUGAAAGCAAAUCAUCGAAUGUUCAUUACUUGAUACACCGGAUAUAGACACUUUCUUCGCCGUGAAAUGUAGUGUAGCCUGGGGCAAAGUGCGACACUUUUUCACGUGACAUGGACACUUCCUUAACAGCGAAAUCAAUUGAAGCUGGUAUCCCUUUCAAAGCGAUGAAAUCUUAGAAAGAAAUACUACUUAGCUAAAACAAAAAGGAGAACUGGUACAAAGAAAUCUUUGACACAGACUAAAGAAGCGACUUUUCUUGACUUUUCUUAAUGGAUAAAUUCAAAGAAUGCAAAAACGUAAAACAAUCAAUUGAAAA